rnacentral:misc_RNA from 1 species
AACGCAUAUUGCGCUCUUUGGUAUUCCAGAGAGCAUGCCUGUUUGAGUAUUGGUACUAUGGGUGAACUUCCUUUGAAUUUUCAAAGUAAAAUCAUUUAAAACCCUAUUGAGACAUCUUGGCAAUCAUUUUUCAAGUGUCUUAAAAUUCAAUUGAAUUUUCCAUGUUCCAGUGGAAGAUGACUAGUUUAUGGAGUAAUAUGGUAAGGGUUGCCCCUGACCUGAAAAAGUGCUGUCAAAGGCUCUUUUUCUUACUUUUCUUCUAGUUGUCUUCAGCUGGAACAUGAUCUUUGAAUGCCCUUGAAGAAGACAUUCAAAAGUUUUAAUCUCAAUCUCAAAUCAGGUAGGAUUACCCGCUGAACUUAA